GAUUCGAACUCAUGAGCCCUGACUCCAAAGCCCGGGCUCUUUCCACUGAGCCACGCUGCUUCUCCUGAUUAGACGGUGAGCCCAUCGUUGGGCAGGGAUGGUCUCUCUCUGUUGCCCAGUUGUCCAUUCCGAGCGCUUAGUACAGGGCUCCGCACCUAGUAAGCGCUCAAGAAAUACGAUGGAAUGAAUGAAUGAGGGUGGGGGGAUGAAUGAAUGACAGGCGAGGGAUCUGAGGCCCAGGGAAGGGAAGGGACUCGCCCAAAGUCACCCAGCUGCCAAGCGGAGGGGGGCGGGGGAGGGGGGGGGAAGGAAAACAAAAACAAAAACAAAAGCAAAGCAGGCCCGCCUCCCGGCAUGCUCUGGGCCAAGCUUCUGGCGACCGGAAGUUGUCAAGCGGUUGCCAUGGAGCUUCUGGGAGCAUCCCUAGGAGGGAGGCAAGGAAGGAAGCAAGGAAGACCCGGGCCUGGAGGCCGCCGGGCUCCUGGGUGGCCCCGUGCUGUCCCCACACUUCUCCUCGGGGCUCUGCCAUGGACUGAGACAUGAGCCACCGCUGGGAUUGCCCGCAGGUCACCGUGCAAGAGCCCCCGCUCGACUUCUCCUUCAAGGGCAUCAACUUCAUCCAAGGUCGGUCCCCCGCCAUGGGACCAGCCGGACGAGUCCCUCUCCGGGACUGAAUUUGAAGCCCACGCGGGCAGCCGGGGUUGAGCUGCGGGCGUCUGCACAGGCGUGAAGUAUUUUCUGCUCCGGGAUAUGGGCGGCUGGGCGAGCUCACGAGUUUGCUUGCCUUUCUGGGCGGGUUUUUCUAGCCCGAGUUCCGCUUCCUUCUCAUUUCCUGAGUGCCCACAAGAUGCCCAAUCCUAGAGCUGGACUGCCAGGGCAGAGUCGGACAGAUGCGGGAGAGGCACAGUUGUCCAACACCAAACUGUUCCUCCUCCCCGCCUCCACUGAUAAUAAUAUUAACGGUGGUAUUUGUUAAGCGCUUACUAUGCGCAAAGCGCUGUUUUAAGCGCUGGGGGGGAUACAAGGUGAUCAGGUUGUCCCACGUAGGGCUCACGGUUUUUAAUCCCCAUUUUACAGAUGAGGGAACUGAGGCAAAGUGAAGUGACUUGCCCAAAGUCACACAGCCGGCAAGCGGCGGAGCCGGGAUUAGAACUCACGACCUCCGACUCCCAAGCCCGGGCUCUUUCCGCUGAGCCACGCCGCUUCUCUACACAAUCCACCCUCGGAGGCACCCCAGAAAAGAAGGAGCAUCAUGUAGUGGACAGAGCCUGGAGGUCAUGGGUUCUAAUCCCAGCUCCGCCACUUGUCUGCUGUGGGACUUUGGGCAAGUCACUUACCUUCUCUGUGCCUCAGGUACCUCAUCUGUAAAAUGGGGAUUAAGACUGUGAGCCCCACGUGGGACAACCUGAUUGCUCUGUGUCUACCCCAGUGCUUAGAACAGUGCUCUGCGCAUAGUAAGUGCUUAACAAAUACCAACAUUAUUAUUCUCUGGAACUCAGUGUCCUCCUCUGUAAAAUGGGGAUUGAGACUGGGAGCCCCAUGUAGGACAGGGACUGAGUCCAACCCGAUUUGCUUGUACCAUCCCGGCGCUUAGUGCAGUGCCUGGCACACAAUUAGCCCUUAACAAAUACCCCAAUUAUUAUUAUCCUUCCCCAGCACCUGGAUUUCAUUUGCUUAAUUGGCAUUAAGGGUUUAGAAUGCUGAUUGAUGACUGAGACAAGGUCCCUGCGGCAUACCAGGUGCCCAGGCUGCGUGGCUCAGUGAAAAGAGCACGGGCUUCGGAGUCAGAGGUCAUGGGUUCGAAUUCUGUCUCCGCCACUUGUCAGCUGGGUGACUGUGGGCAAGUCGCUUCACUUCUCGGUGCCUCAGUGACCUCAUCUGUAAAAUGGGGAUUAAGACUGUGAGCCCCACGUGGGACAACCUGAUUCCCUUGUGUCUACCCCAGUGCUUAGAACAGUGCUCUGCACAUAGUAAGCGCUUAACAAAUAGCAACAUAUAGAAAACAGGCAUAAAUGACAAUGGGAAUUAGGAUUGUGUGUGAGUGCUUACUAUGGGUCUGAGCCCUGCAUUAAGUACUACGGUAGCUUCCAGCUAAUCAGGACACAGUCCCCUGUCUCACCUAGGGUUCAUGAUUAAAAGUACAGAAUUCAAAUUUUGAGAGCAUUAAGUCGAUAAAUUAUCCUAGGAGCAGGCAGUCUUAAGGCACUUCACUGCCCCACACCACAGUUCAUGAUCACAGGUUGCAGAAGCCUCUCUUCGCCGCCCCCCCUCCCCCCCCCACAAACUCAAGCAGCGUGGCUCAGUGGAAAGAGCCCGGGCUCGGGAGUCAGAGGUCAUGGGUUCUAAUCCCUGCUCCGCCGCUUGCCAGCUGUGUGACUCUGGGUGAGUCACUUCACUUCUCUGUGCCUCAGUUCCCUCCUCUGUAAAAUGGGGAUUCAAACUGUGAGCCCCACGUGGGACAACCUGAUCACCUUGUAUCCCCCCCAGCGCUUAGAACAGUGCUUGGCACAUAGUAAGUGCUUAACAAAUACCACCAUUAUUUAAAUGACUCUAAUAGCAGAUGCCUG
rnacentral:lncRNA from 1 species